rnacentral:rRNA from 1 species
CCUACGGGGCGCAGCAGUGGGGAAUAUUGGACAAUGGGCGAAAGCCUGAUCCAGCCAUGCCGCGUGUGUGAAGAAGGCCUUCGGGUUGUAAAGCACUUUCAGUGGGGAAGAAAGCCUUGGGGCUAAUACCCUCGAGGAAGGACAUCACCCACAGAAGAAGCACCGGCUAACUCCGUGCCAGCAGCCGCGGUAAUACGGAGGGUGCGAGCGUUAAUCGGAAUUACUGGGCGUAAAGCGCGCGUAGGCGGUCUGAUAAGCCGGUUGUGAAAGCCCCGGGCUCAACCUGGGAACGGCAUCCGGAACUGUCAGGCUAGAGUGCAGGAGAGGAAGGUAGAAUUCCCGGUGUAGCGGUGAAAUGCGUAGAGAUCGGGAGGAAUACCAGUGGCGAAGGCGGCCUUCUGGACUGACACUGACGCUGAGGUGCGAAAGCGUGGGUAGCAAACAGGAUUAGAUACCCUUGUAU